UGAGAAUGACCGUAGAACACACCAACAAACAAUCCAAAAGAGAGUUCACUGGAGAUAGUCAGAGAAGCUGAAGUCACAGAUCAGAGAAUGACUCACUGAGGCAAUGUCAUGAGAGAUUGGUGCCUAGCCCAACUGUUUUUAGAGAUGC